ACGGGUGAGUAAUACAUCGGAACGUGCCUAGUAGUGGGGGAUAACUACUCGAAAGAGUAGCUAAUACCGCAUGAGAUCUAAGGAUGAAAGCAGGGGACCUUCGGGCCUUGUGCUACUAGAGCGGCCGAUGGCAGAUUAGGUAGUUGGUGGGAUAAAAGCUUACCAAGCCGACGAUCUGUAGCUGGUCUGAGAGGACGACCAGCCACACUGGGACUGAGACACGGCCCAGACUCCUACGGGAGGCAGCAGUGGGGAAUUUUGGACAAUGGGCGCAAGCCUGAUCCAGCAAUGCCGCGUGCAGGAUGAAGGCCUUCGGGUUGUAAACUGCUUUUGUACGGAACGAAAAGCUUCUGGUUAAUACCUGGGAGUCAUGACGGUACCGUAAGAAUAAGCACCGGCUAACUACGUGCCAGCAGCCGCGGUAAUACGUAGGGUGCGAGCGUUAAUCGGAAUUACUGGGCGUAAAGCGUGCGCAGGCGGUUAUGUAAGACAGAGGUGAAAUCCCCGGGCUCAACCUGGGAACUGCCUUUGUGACUGCAUGGCUAGAGUGCGGCAGAGGGGGAUGGAAUUCCGCGUGUAGCAGUG
rnacentral:rRNA from 1 species